CAACCGGGUGGCCGGAAGCCUCAGGAAACUUGGGGUACCACCGUUGA
rfam:Hepatitis C virus isolate QC382, complete genome